AUUGAACGCUGGCGGCAGGCCUAACACAUGCAAGUCGAACGGUAACAGGAAGAAGCUUGCUUCUUUGCUGACGAGUGGCGGACGGGUGAGUAAUGUCUGGGAAACUGCCUGAUGGAGGGGGAUAACUACUGGAAACGGUAGCUAAUACCGCAUAAUGUCGCAAGACCAAAGAGGGGGACCUUCGGGCCUCUUGCCAUCGGAUGUGCCCAGAUGGGAUUAGCUAGUAGGUGGGGUAACGGCUCACCUAGGCGACGAUCCCUAGCUGGUCUGAGAGGAUGACCAGCCACACUGGAACUGAGACACGGUCCAGACUCCUACGGGAGGCAGCAGUGGGGAAUAUUGCACAAUGGGCGCAAGCCUGUUGCAGCUAUGCCGCGUGUAUGAAGAAGGCCUUCGGGUUGUAAAGUACUUUCAGCGGGGAGGAAGGGAGUAAAGUUAAUACCUUUGCUCAUUGACGUUACCCGCAGAAGUAGCACCGGCUAACUCCGUG
rnacentral:rRNA from 1 species